CUGGGCCUCAGUCCUGGUUCUGCUCGUUAUUCGCAGGCCGGGCGGCUCGCGAGGAGAGAGAGGACGUCGCCGGAGACCUCCCUGUCUGCGCCCGCCCCGCAGAGCCCACGGCGGUCCAGGGCUCCCCCAGCGCUCCGGGCGGCGAUGAGGUCAGCUACUCCACUGUGAGCUUCGCAGAGGCGGCAGCAGGACCCCCGAGAGGACAGGGCGUCCCCAGGGAGGGCGAGACCACCGUUUACUCGGACCUCAGGACAGGGAAAUAGGAGGAGGUGGAGGUUACAUCAAGUCUCCACCGGGGGGCGCUGUGUGAUGUACCUGAGACUCCCCCACCUGCCUGAACACGAUCCACCAGGCCACAAAGAUGGACGCUCAGAGCACAGCAGCAGAGCUCUGUCGCUGUUGCUUAACAGCACGGACGGUUUUGAACUCAAAAGAGCUUAAAACCUGUGGGGGAUAUUAAUUCAGACCCCCCGUCUCGAACGUUUCCUGUACAGCUUAGUCAUGAACCAGUAGGUGUCUUUACUGACCAGUUGUUCCACUGUACAAGGUGGUUUUCACGAGUUAAGGGCUUCUCAAGAAACGCGCUGGCGUCUUUCCUCAAUCAGUAUUGUGUCCGAUAUUCACUGCACUGAAAAAUGACUUUACUGCGUAUUCACCGACACCGUCUGUUUCCGGAAUACGCAGUCCCGUUUAUCCUCUAAAAAGACCUGACGUUGCUAUACAACCUGAGGAUCGUUUCCCUGGAGGAGGAGGAGGAGGAGUGUCAUCGGAGAGGAGGGACACGGGACUGGCGAGCUGUUUAAUUGAGGGGCGGAAGUGGACUCUCCUGUUUAAUUGACGAGCGGAAGUGGACUCGCCUGUUUAAUUGACUAGCGGAAGUGGACUCGCAUGUUUUACUGAGGGGCGGAAGUGGACUCGCCUGUUUUAUUGAGGGGCGGAAGUGGACUCACCUGGUUAAUUGACGAGCGGAAGUGGACUCGCCUGUUUAAUUGAGGGGCGGAAGUGGACUCACCUGGUUAAUUGACGACCGGAAGGGCGCUCGACGCCGCUUCGUCUGCAAGCUGAACAAACGAGUAUCGUUGUCCUUCUCUCCUCGGAUAUUCACUGUGCCCGUCAGUAAGAAAUAGUUUUUACUUCUCGAAUAGUUGUGUGUACGUGUUUGCCUGACUGUUUAUUCAGUGAAAUCGCGAGGUUCUGAAGCCAGACGGAGUUUUUCCUCAUUAACUUAGAUUCCCCGUGCAGGUUGUGAAUUGUACGUCUAGUCAUGAAACCCGACAGCGUUUUCCCUGAAUCAUCGUUAUAUCCUCGCUGUGCUGGCUGUUCAUUUAAAUGUCUAAUUUCGCUACACCAGGCAGUGCUUUUUGUGAAUAAUCUUGGUAUACGUUCACUGUACUCGUUGUUAAAUGUGCUGUCUAGUCACUUAACCGGACGGAGUUGGUUCCUAUUAAUUAUUUGAUAUAUUUUUUCCUACGGUCCGUUAGUUAAUUACCGUGACUAAGUUUUUCAGUAAUUAUCUUGUGUAUUCCCCGUGCUGGGUGUUAAUUUGACUGUGUAGUCACAGAACCAGAAGGUGUUUUCCAUUAAUACUUAUGUCUUCCCCCUUCUGUUUAUACAUUUUAAUUUAUACUCAUUAAACAGGGCAGUGAUUUUCCAGAAUUAUUAUCGUAUAUAUUCACCGUACCGGGUGUUAAUGACGCUGUCUAAUCACUAACCCAGACGGUGUUUUUCCUGAAUAAUUGUUUUACGUUUGCGGUACCUGUCCUUAAUAUUACUGUUUAGUAACCAAACCGUGCAGAAUGUCUUCUUACUAAUUUUCUUAUAUAUUCAGUGUUCUGGUUGUUAAUUAUACUGUCUAAUCACUGAACCAGAUGUUAUUACUGAAUAUCUAUGCGACAUUUUUCCUGUACUGGUUUUUAAUUUUAAUUUCUAGUGACUAAACCGGACAGUUUUCCCUUGUUGAUUGUCUUGUAUCUUCACCGUGCUGCUUGUUAAUUUUACUGUGUUUUCACAGUGCCAUACAGUGUUUUUUUAGGAAUAAUUGUGUUAUCUUCACUGUACUGUUUGUUAAUCUUGAAUUAGUCAUUAAACCAGACAGUAUUUGUCUAGAAUAAUUGUUAUUUUCAUCGCACUGGUUGUUAAUUAUACUGACUAGUCACUAAAUCAGACGGAGGUUUUCAUUAAUAUUAUUCUGAUUUACGUGAUAUAUUCCCUGUACUGGUUGUUAAUUUUCAUGUCUAGUCACUAAACCGGGCAGAGUUUUUUCUUAUUAAUUAUGUUCUAUAUUCACGGUACUGGUUAUUAAUUUUACUGACAGUCACUAAAUCAGACGGAGGUUUUCAUUAAUAUUAUUCCUGAUUAUUUACGUGAUAUAUUCCCUGUACUGGUUGUUAAUUUUCAUUUCUAGUCACUAAACCGGACAGAGUUUUUUCUUAUUAUGUUCUAUAUUCAUGGUACUGGUUCUUAAUUGUACUGUUUUGUCACUAAACCUUCCAGUGUUGUUAACGAAUACUUGUUCUAUAUUCACCUUCCUGGUUGUUAAUUUUAAUUUCGAGUCACUAAUCCAGACUAUAUUUUUCUUGAAUAAUUAUGAUAAAUUCGCCGUGUUCGUUGUUAAUUGUACUGUCUCGUCACUAAACCCGAUGUUUUUCAUGAAUACUUGUUAUAUAUUAACCAUACUGAGUAUUAAUUUCUAGUUCCUAAUCCGGGCAGAGAAUUUCCUAAAUAUAAUUGUUCUAUGUUCACGGUACUGGUUCUUAAUAUUACUGUUUAGUAACUAAUCCAUACAGAAGUUUUCCUUACUAAUUUUCUUAUACAGUAUAUUCGCUGAACUGUUUUUUUAUUAUACUGUCUAAUCACUGAACCAGGUGGUGUUUUUCCUGAAUAUUUCUUAAAUAUUCAUUGUGCUGGUUGUUAAUUGCACUGUCCAGUCACUGAACCAGGUAGUUUUUUAUGAAAACUAAUGUUAUAUAUUCCCUGUACUGGUCAUUCAUUCUACAGCUGUCACUAAACCAGCCAGUGUCUGCAGUGGGUGUCCACUGGGAUGGUUAUUGUCAGUGAUAAUUACACUGACAGGACAAUGGUCAGUCACUGACCAUAAUGGUUGAUAAUUGUACUUACUGUCUAGGCACUAAACCAGGUGGAAAUGUUCCUUAUUAAUUAUACUUUAUUUACUGGACUGCUUAUUAAUUAUAUUGUCUAGUCACUAAACUGAACAGUUUUUCCUUGUUAAUUAUCUUGUUUUCACUGUGCAGGUUGUUAAUUUUACUGUGUAGUCACAGGACCACAGUGUUUCUCUUGAAUACUUGGUCUACCUUCACUGUACUUUUUAUUAAUUUUGAUUUAUAGUCACUAAAGCAGGCAGUAAUUUUCCUGAAUUAUUCGCCUUACCAGUUGUUAAUUGAACUGUCUACUCGUUAAACUAGAUGGGUUUUCCUAAAUACUGACAGGUCUGAGAUAUAGUCACUGUCCUGACUGCUGAUUGUACUGGAGUCACUAAACUAGAUGGGUUUUCCUGAGUACUGACAGGUCUGUGAUAUAGUCACUGUCCUGACUGCUGAUUGUACUGGAGUCACUAAACUAGAUGGGUUUUCCUGAGUACUGACAGGUCUGUGAUAUAGUCCCUGUCCUGACUGCUGAUUGUACUGGAGUCACUAAACUAGAUGGGUUUUCGUGAAUUCUGUUGUGUAUUCACUGUACUGGUUGUUAAUUUUAAUUUCUAAUUACUAAUCCAGACAGUUUGUCCAUAUUAUUUACCUGUCAUAUUCACUGCACUGUUUAAUUGUGCUUUCUAGUCCCUCAACCUGAUGGUGUUUUUCAUGAAUACUCAAGUUCUAUAUUCACCCUGCUGGUUGUUAAUUUUAAGUCACUAAACCGGAUGGAGUUUUUCCUUAUUAAUUAUGUUCUAUAUUCACCGUGCUGGUUGUUAAUUACACUGUCCA